rnacentral:lncRNA from 1 species
AUAGGAGAUCAGCUUCCCAACCAGAAGACGUGAUUGGGUGGAGAGAAUGCAGGAGACUCAGAAGAGUACCUAAAAGUUUAGCGCUCUGUGCUCUGGCACAGCUUCUGUUGUAAAGAGCACCUCCAGGUGUCUUUGAAAUUGUCUGUGCCUCUUUCCUUCCCGCUUCCCUCCUCCCAUGGAGGCCUUCAUGCUCUGACAGCCAGACUGACCAGAAGCAUCAGUCAUCAGAGAGGUGGAGGAAGAGCUGACCACAAACCUUCCCUGCUGUGCACCUUGGUUGCAGCUCUUUCACUCUUAAUUUGCUGCCUUUGGCUCUU